GACAUUGGCGAUAGCCAAGGGCGCCAUCUCUUGGCGGCGCCAAAUUUCUGUGUGCGCCAUAUACCUGUUCCUCGUUAUGCCACGAGCAUUAAUAAAAUUUUGCUGAUAAAUCCUCUGACGAGUGAGAUUACCGAAUACCUAGUUGAAAAACACUGUUUUCCUGACAUUUUUAAAAAAUAAAAAUAAAACAAACGUCUGCUGUUCAAGAAUGAAUAAUUCUUUCCAAUCGAUUCUUUGCAAUGAAUCUCAUCAAAUGGGUGAACAUGAAUCAUUUUUCAUGAAUCGGUCUUAAUCAUUCGAACAUCUCACUCGCACACUGAAUCGUUUGGAGCGGUUUUCUGUAAAACUGUAGAACAACAAACCGUUUAGAACACAGUAAACUAUACUCGUUACUUACAAUAAACUGGACUAAACCUACAAAUCCAUCCAAUCGCCAAAGACGAGUAGGGUCUUUGUGAAGAUCAACUGCACGUGCAGCUUAUGAACAACUGUGUACUACAGACUAUUUGUUCACCGCUGAUCAGCUUGUGAAAGCACAUGCCGUCAUGUACGCUGAAUUUGUCCGUCCCUGGACCAAUGAGUAAUACAAGUCUCAGGGGUUUUGAGAAGGGAUUGCCUCAUAGCGUAUGUUCUGCCUCCUCCUUCCACAGCCACGCCUGUGAGAACAGAAAAUAACAUGUAAAUGUUCCUUCAGCACAAACAGAACGUCUCUGUGGCCGUCGGCCAUGGCUUGGGCACCGUUCCGGCAUCAUGAGGCUCAGGGGUGCCUGUUGUCUAAGCCGAGCGUGUGCAGAUGUUUGACUUUAGCAGUUAUCUCAGGAGGAAGGACUCUCCAUGUGCUAAUAAAACAUCCUCACCACACCCAACAAAAAGCGUAACCUCAGCAGUAUGGGAAACAAAAUGUACGACUGACAUUCAAUGGAGUAAAGAAACAAGAAUGUGAAAAAAAUACACAAUACUGUACACACAUACUGUAUGUGUUUGUAUAUCUGCUUUUACACUCAGAGGAAUUUGAUUGCAUUAAAACAAAAUAUUAAAUCAAGUGGCAUUUAUUUUAAAUAAAGUUAACACAAUUUGUAAAAGAACAAUUAUUUAAAAAAAAAUCAAGACAUUUUUUUUUUCUUUUUUUUCUUUAUUUUACAAAGCUGAUUCAAAAGAGUAAUUAGUUAAAAAAGGAACUGAUUCAAAAUAAUUAUUUGGUCAAAAAAAUAACCAGUUCAAAAGAACAAUUUGUUUAAAAAAGAUCUGAUUUAAAGGGGUGGUUGAUUAUGAUUUCAC